UACAGAGGGGCCUAGCGUUAGGCGGAAUCACUGGGCUUAAAGCGUGUGUAGGCGGACUGCUCAGUCCCUUGUGAAAUCCCCCGGCUCAACCGGGGAACGGCUGGGGAUACUGGGCGUCUUGAGAGAGCUAGGGGCGAGCGGAACAACCGGUGGAGCGGUGAAAUGCGUAGAUAUCGGGAGGAACACCUGUGGCGAAGGCGGCCCCCUGGUUGGAUACUGACGCUGAGACGCGAAAGCGUGGGGAGCAAACAGG
rnacentral:rRNA from 1 species